CAGUAGCCACGGGAAAACAGAGGGCGCGAGCGUUACCCGGAUUUACUGGGCGUAAAGGGCGUGUAGGCGGCCUGGGGCGUCCCAUGUGAAAGGCCACGGCUCAACCGUGGAGGAGCGUGGGAUACGCUCAGGCUAGAGGGUGGGAGAGGGUGGUGGAAUUCCCGGAGUAGCGGUGAAAUGCGCAGAUACCGGGAGGAACGCCGAUGGCGAAGCAGCCACCUGGUCCACUUCUGACGCUGAGGCGCGAAAGCGUGGGGAGCAAACCGGAUUAGAUACCCGCGUAGUCCCUGUCUCUUAUACA
rnacentral:rRNA from 1 species